rnacentral:rRNA from 1 species
AAAUUGAAGAGUUUGAUCAUGGCUCAGAUUGAACGCUGGCGGCAGGCCUAACACAUGCAAGUCGAACGGUAACAGGAAGCAGCUUGCUGCUUUGCUGACGAGUGGCGGACGGGUGAGUAAUGUCUGGGAAACUGCCUGAUGGAGGGGGAUAACUACUGGAAACGGUGGCUAAUACCGCAUAACGUCGCAAGACCAAAGAGGGGGACCUUCGGGCCUCUUGCCAUCAGAUGUGCCCAGAUGGGAUUAGCUUGUUGGUGAGGUAACGGCUCACCAAGGCGACGAUCCCUAGCUGGUCUGAGAGGAUGACCAGCCACACUGGAACUGAGACACGGUCCAGACUCCUACGGGAGGCAGCAGUGGGGAAUAUUGCACAAUGGGCGCAAGCCUGAUGCAGCCAUGCCGCGUGUAUGAAGAAGGCCUUCGGGUUGUAAAGUACUUUCAGCGGGGAGGAAGGUGUUGUGGUUAAUAACCACAGCAAUUGACGUUACCCGCAGAAGAAGCACCGGCUAACUCCGUGCCAGCAGCCGCGGUAAUACGGAGGGUGCAAGCGUUAAUCGGAAUUACUGGGCGUAAAGCGCACGCAGGCGGUCUGUCAAGUCGGAUGUGAAAUCCCCGGGCUCAACCUGGGAACUGCAUUCGAAACUGGCAGGCUUGAGUCUUGUAGAGGGGGGUAGAAUUCCAGGUGUAGCGGUGAAAUGCGUAGAGAUCUGGAGGAAUACCGGUGGCGAAGGCGGCC